rnacentral:tRNA from 1 species
AGAGGAAUCGAUCAGUGUUAGAGCACUUGCCUCAAAUGCAUGAAGCUCUGGGUUUGAUCCCCGGUACCCCCA